UACAGAGGUCUCAAGCGUUGUUCGGAUUCAUUGGGCGUAAAGGGUGCGUAGGCGGCGCGGUAAGUCGGGUGUGAAAUCUCGGAGCUUAACUCCGAAACUGCAUUCGAUACUGCCGUGCUUGAGGACUGGAGAGGAGACUGGAAUUUACGGUGUAGCGGUGAAAUGCGUUGAGAUCGGAAGGAACGCCCGUGGCGAAAGCGAGGUCCUGGACGCCUACUGACGCUGAGACGCGAAAGCCAGGGGAGCGAACGGG
rnacentral:rRNA from 1 species